AGCGUAUAUUAAAGUUGUUGCAGUUAAAAGGCUCGUAGUUGAAUUUCGGGAUUGGCGCAUCGGUCGUGCCUCACGGGGUAUGAACUGGUGCAGCCAAUUUCUCACCUUCUGGAGAACCGCGAUGUCCUUAAUUGGAUGCCGCGGGGAACCAGGACCUUUACUUUGAAAAAAUUAGAGUGUUUAAAGCAGGCAUUUUUGCUUGAAUACAUUAGCAUGGAAUAAUAAAAUAGGACGGCAUGGUUCUAUUUUGUUGGUUUCUAGGACCACCGUAAUGAUUAAUAGGGAUAGUUGGGGGCAUUAGUAUUCAAUUGUCAGAGGUGAAAUUCUUGGAUUUAUUGAAGACUAACUGCUGCGAAAGCAUUUGCCAAGGAUGUUUUCAUUAAUCAAGAACGAAAGUUAGGGGAUCGAAGACGAUCAGAUACCGUCGUAGUCUUAACCAUAAAC
rnacentral:rRNA from 1 species